rnacentral:lncRNA from 1 species
UUUAACCAGAAGAUUCUUUUUCCUCUCUAUCAAGUCAUCACUUUCCACAUUUUAUGGAAAGAAGUUUUAUCUUUUCUUGUUAAGCUAUUGGUGAAUUUUUAACUUUGGGGUUUUGUUUCGGAUAGGUAUUGGGAGAAGGAGAGGCUGUCAACCCAUGCCACUAUGCUAUCUCUAAUUCUGCCAUCCAGACCGAGCAAACGUACUUAAGACCUUUGUGUAAGAUCAGAAAAUCAUAAGACAGCAUUAAAAAGUACUAUACAGGAGGAGAUGGAACAAGAUGGCCAAAUAGAAGCCUCCAGCAAUCAUCUCCCCGAAAGGAAUUGAACAACUAUCAAAACAAAAUUGAACAACUAUCUAAACAAAAAAGUACCUUCAUAAAAAACAAAAAUCAGGACAAUAUCAGAACGGCACAUACAAGUGUCCCCAAGUCAUAUUUGGAAUAAGAUCACUUGGGAACACAAGUCAAAGAAGGACACAGUGUUCUGCCUCUCCUGAGUAAGCAGCAACAACGCACCAUCUUGGAAUCAGGGGACGGCCCUCACCAGACAACUAAAUCUGCAGACACCUUGGACUUCCCAGCCUCCAGAACUGUCUUUCUGGCAACUGUCUAAACAUAAACCAGAGAAGGGCAAGGCAGACUCAGGAAGGACAAAUAGAAGGCUAUUUUCAUAAAUCGGACCACCACCACAUGUGCAGCAUCCCUCUGGGUCUCUUCCAUGACAACCCUGUGGGAAGCCAGGCAAGUGAGAAUCAAUGUAAACAUGAAGUUCAUGCUGCUUACUGUGUCGUGAUAAUGUCCUUGUCUCCCAAUCAGGAGCCUCAUGUCUUCUUGCCAGCCUCUGUGGAACUGUGCUUGGCAGGUCACCUUGUUCUAGCAGAUAGAAACUGAAUCAAUAUGGGAAGAGCCAGAAUUUGGACAAGGUUCACCAAACAUUCACACUGAUGCCAGGUGGGCCAAGAAAAAGGGAAUGUCCUGCCUCUGAGAAACUCAUCAUACAGUUUGGAGAUAACAUUUGUUGAAGGAGAGAAGAAAAGAGGAGAGAGGAAUGGAGUGAGGCAGAAAGGAAAUGAUGACGAGCUACUCUUCAAAAUUAAGCUGGAUAACAACAAGAAAUUCUAGAAAGCAAUUGAGGCAACCUCCACCCUAAGACCCAGGUAAACCCUACAUUUAAAGUGCUGUUCUGGGGCACAGUGAAAGAUUUCUGCCAGAAAAUUUGCUCCCUAGGAUUUACAUGAUGAUGAGAUUACAUGCUGCCUUGUGGCAACAAAAUCAAAAGUCUGUAAAAGAAAAAGCGUGCUAUGCUUCUGAAUGUUUGGAGAUCCUACAAUAGAUUUUUCAUUCAGCUAUUUUGUUGCUGCUUCAUGAGCACA